UAGCGCAGUGAGAAAAAUCCCUAUAAAUAAGGGACAAAUGCAACAACGCAUAGGCUUGAAGGCGCUCCUUCAGACUCCAGAGCACCUUCUCCCUAGUAACACACACUCUUCUCUUCUCCCAAACUUUAUUCCUCAUUUUCAAUCCAAAACUGGACCUCAAUAAACCCGCAUCUGAACCUGAACCAAGCAUGUUCGGACCCUCCCAACCCGCUCCUAAAUCCACCGUCAAAUUCCUCUGCAGCUACGGCGGCAAAAUCCUCCCUCGCUAUCCCGACGGCAAGCUCCGUUAUCUCGGCGGCCACACCCGCGUCCUCGCCGUUGAACGCUCCAUUCCAUUCACCGAGCUAUUGCUGAAGCUCGAAGAGCUCUGCGGCUCCUCCGUGAGGCACCUUCGCUGCCAAUUACCCGACGAAGACCUUGACGCUUUGGUUUCCAUCACCUCCGACGAAGAUCUCGCCAAUCUCAUCGAAGAAUACGAGCGCGUCGUGUCGCCGUUGAAGAUCAGAGCCUUCCUCUCGCCACCGAGAUCUUCGACCAAGGUUUUCACACCUCCGUCAUCCUCUCUGUCAAAAUCAGCGUCCUCCUCUUCCUCCUCCUCUGCGUCGUCCACUUCUUCAUCAUCGUCGUAUUGCAGCCCUACCGCCGGUGGUUCAGGUUCCGGGUCUGGCCGGAGGUAUAGGGCUUUGGCGCCGGUGGUGGAGCGCUGCGUCCAUCAUAUGUCGCCGCCGACGGCGUUUCCGGUCGGGGCUGAGAAAUCCUCCGGGAGGAAUAUUCGUGUGCCUCGCUACGGUUACCACCAUGCUCAUGGGAGCGUGUAUAUGAUCCACCACGGUAACCACUGGCAAUAGCGUUACGGUGGUUUGAUUUCGUCCGUGGAAGAUGGAAUAUUGGAAUGGAACUAUUAAGAUUAAGAACCAGCUCUUAUUAUAAAAUGAAAAUGACGAAAGGAACUUUACGAUAAUAUAUAUAACAUUAUUAAAACAAGAUGAAAUUAAAGGAGAAAGAGAUGGGAAAGAAAAGAGUGCUGAAUAUACAUGUGAUGUAAAAUGGGACUGUAAAAUCGUUAACAGGGAUUGCGGUUUUAGCUUGUGAUCCUUCAUUGCCCAUUAAUGAAUUUCACUCCAAUUUCGUGUUUGCCUCCGUUUUUGUAAUGACGGUUUAACCCAAGACUGAAAAAUCGUAUGGGGACACGUUUCAGUUGUAAGUUUUUCUACCCGACAUGAAUUUGGUUAUGCUGAAUGCUUUCUAUUCUUUAAUGGCAAUGUACUGUCAUCCCUCGUUACUCUAUGCUAUAGCAUGGCAAUUUAUCUUUUAUUGAUGCUCCACUUUUUCAAAGAUAUUAAUUCCCAUUCCAUUAUCAGUUACAAAUUAUAUCUUAUAGUAGUAGUACUUCUUAAAAAUUGCAUUUUGGAGAUUAGAGAAUAUUCGUAUUGAAUCGGGAUAAUAAAAAAGAAUUAAUUGCUUUGUUCUCGCUCCGAUACAAAACUUCCAGAUUAUCUUAUUUCAGAACUUUGCUCUAUUUGGUGACCUUUAUUUUCUGCAUAAAUUGUCUAUUCGUGUUUGUUUCCAUUUUGAUUAACUAAUAAUGAUGGUGUUUAAGUUCAGUUAUGGGAUUCGGGCCAGAUUCAAAUGAAGUGCUGCUAUGAACAAUGAACACCGGAAGACAUAUUGGGUUCGUAUGAACACCAAAUAGGGAUGGCAAAGCAUAGCAUGGGGGGACCAAACUCCAUGCAGGAGAUGCAAUGAACUCAACACUAUGAAAUUAAAACUAUCUCAUGACAGCUGGCACAUGAAUGUUCGAAUAACUUGAACUCAUCAUCAUAUAUACCGUACAAAACUGCAAAUUGAUAGAACCAACAUAAAAUGAAUAUCUUUUUUUUUUGUUUUUUUUUUAAAUAACAUAAUAGAAUAAGAAAUAUAUAUAUAAAUAAACGAUUUUUCUAACUAUGUUUAAAGAUACUUAAUAAAAAUUUGUAUAAAGUAAAUAACAAAUAGAUUAAUAACAUUCAAUGAUAUAAUAUUUAAUAAAAAAUCGUAUUAUAAUCUUUUUUAAGGUGCCUCUUUGAAUACAUAUUAUAAAAAUAUUCGAUAUAUACAAAUAGGAUCACCCCUUCAGCUAAGAGGCGUUAAAAAACUAGAUUUAGUAUUGGAAAUUAAAGGACCUCCACUCAUGUAACAUUCAAAGGGAAGAUUCCUUUCGCUGUCUUAGUUUUGGAAGAGAUAUUAACCCACCCAAUUACCUGGAAUCAACUAAUUAGUUUAUUAAUCAAAACAUGUCAGGGGAAGCAUGAAAGUGAGUUCAUUUGUGUAAUCUUCUGGAAGACGGUUUAAGGAUAUCCUACCCCACCAUGUGCGAUCUUUUAUUCCUAUCUCUUUUGGAUUAUAUUACAUGUGUUUAAGCAUAUAAAAGAGUAACAAAUUUAUAAUAACUCAACAUUUGCUAAGAUUGAAUGUUUAAGUUAACUUGAUAAAAGAGGAAAGGUCUCAACUGGGAAGCGACGAAGUCAUGGAUGAUGGAUCUCUUCAGAUAUAAGCCUUGUCCGCUCUGAGCUGCAGUGGAGAACUCCUGACAUUGUAAGGUUAUUGUUCCAUGACAAGCAAACGUCAAUUUUGGACAAGUGAGGGAAAGAACGCUGAGGAAAAUAAAAAAGCAAAGGGGGGAUGUUCGUAUAAUCACAUGCCUCCUCUAAUGCAACAUAGAGAUGGAAGGUAUGGAGGCCAAAAGAAUUAAAAUAUGAAAUUGUGUUUUUUAUUCAUAUCCGUAAAGAGAAUUUAAGCAAACUCGAGUACUGGGGGUCUGAGUAAUUUACACUAGGUCGUAAUUUAAAUCUUAUUGGUUGUAUAAAAAAAAAAAGUUAAGUUUGAAUAAGAUUUUAGUCUUAAUAAUUUUUUAUUUUUAUUUUUACUUUUUAUCAACUCUUAAAAUUUUAUAUUUGAGGAUGUGUUUGAAAGAGGGGAAAUUUUUCGAAAUUUUGGCACCAAAGUUCGAGGCAGAUGAAUGAAUUAUACUAUUUUAAAAGUUUGAAUUUAUUUCAAAGAUUGUUA